GACGAACGCUGGCGGCGUGCUUAACACAUGCAAGUCGUACGGUAAGGCCCUUUCGGGGGUACACGAGUGGCGAACGGGUGCGUAACACGUGAGUAACCUGCCCACAACUUUGGGAUAACGCUAGGAAACUGGUGCUAAUACUGGAUAUGUGCUCCUGCUGCAUGGUGGGGGUUGGAAAGCUCCGGCGGUUGUGGAUGGACUCGCGGCCUAUCAGCUUGUUGGUGGGGUAGUGGCCUACCAAGGCGGCGACGGGUAGCCGGCCUGAGAGGGUGACCGGCCACAUUGGGACUGAGAUACGGCCCAGACUCCUACGGGAGGCAGCAGUGGGGAAUAUUGCACAAUGGGCGCAAGCCUGAUGCAGCAACGCCGCGUGCGGGAUAACGGCCUUCGGGUUGUAAACCGCUUUCAGCAGGGACGAAGCUUUUUGUGACGGUACCUGCAGAAGAAGCACCGGCUAACUACGUG
rnacentral:rRNA from 1 species